rnacentral:tRNA from 1 species
AGAUUCAAAUUAGAGCUUGGUUUAAGUAUUUUAUUUACAUUAAAAUGAUAAUUGUUAAUUCAAUUUAGUUUGA